rnacentral:rRNA from 1 species
UUGAACGCUGGCGGCAUGCCUUACACAUGCAAGUCGAACGGUAACGGGCCUUCGGGUGCCGACGAGUGGCGAACGGGUGAGUAAUACAUCGGAACGUGCCCGAUCGUGGGGGAUAACGAGGCGAAAGCUUUGCUAAUACCGCAUACGAUCUACGGAUGAAAGCAGGGGACCACAAGGCCUUGCGCGGACGGAGCGGCCGAUGGCAGAUUAGGUAGUUGGUGGGAUAAAAGCUUACCAAGCCGACGAUCUGUAGCUGGUCUGAGAGGAUGAUCAGCCACACUGGGACUGAGACACGGCCCAGACCCCUACGGGAGGCAGCAGUGGGGAAUUUUGGACAAUGGGCGCAAGCCUGAUCCAGCCAUGCCGCGUGCAGGAUGAAGGCCUUCGGGUUGUAAACUGCUUUUGUACGGAACGAAAAGCCUUAUUUUAAUACAGGAGGGUCAUGACGGUACCGUAAGAAUAAGCACCGGCUAACUACGU